CCUACGGGAGGCAGCAGUGGGGAAUAUUGCACAAUGGGGGGAACCCUGAUGCAGCGACGCCGCGUGGGUGAGGAAGUACUUCGGUAUGGAAAGCCCUAUCAGCAGGGAAGAAAAUGACGGUACCUGACUAAGAAGCCCCGGCUAACUACGUUCCAGCAGCCGCGGGAAUACGUAGGGGGCAAGCGUUAUCCGGAUGUACUGGGUGUAAAGGGAGCGUAGGCGGCGUGGCAAGUCUGAUGUGAAAGGCCGGGGCUCAACCCCGGGACUGCAUUGGAAACUGGCAUGCUGGAGUGCCGGAGGGGCAAGCGGAAUGCCUAGUGUAGCGGUGAAAUGCGUAGAUAUUAGGAGGAACACCGGUGGCGAAGGCGGCUUGCUGGACGGUAACUGACGUUGAGGCUCGAAAGCGUGGGGAGCGAACAGGAUUAGAUACCCGGGUAGUC
rnacentral:rRNA from 1 species